rnacentral:rRNA from 1 species
ACUCCUACGGGAGGCAGCAGCUAAGAAUAUUCCGCAAUGGACGAAAGUCUGACGGAGCGACGCCGCGUGGAUGAAGAAGGCCGAAAGGUUGUAAAAUCCUUUUGCUGAGGAAGAAUAAGUGUGGGAGGGAAUGCCCGCACGAUGACAUGAAUCGGCGAAUAAGCCCCGGCCAACUACGUGCCAGCAGCCGCGGUAACACGUAGGGGGCGAGCGUUGUUCGGAAUUACUGGGCGUAAAGGGCAUGUAGGCGGUUAUGUAAGCCUGGCGUGAAAGUCCACAGCUUAACUGUGGGAUUGCGUUGGGAACUAGAUGACUAGAGUUACGGAGAGGGAGCUAGAAUUCCUGGUGUAGGGGUGGAAUCUGUAGAGAUCAGGAAGAAUACCGAUGGCGAAGGCAAGCUCCUGGCCGAUGACUGACGCUGAGGUGCGAAAGUGUGGGGAUCAAACAGGAUUAGAUACCCUGGUAGUC